AUGUAUGCAUUACACAAACAUCUAUGCAGAUAACCACAACAGAUUUAACCGUGAUAGAAAAUCAAAGUACGUCAAGGGAUCGACGGAUCUUUCAAGCAUCUGCAUGUUAGAUACUGUUACAAUUUGCCAGGACAUUCUGCAACAGCUCCAUCAAUUCUUGACAUACUCUCUCGGUUAUCUGUAGCGCAAUAUCAGAAGAAAGGAAUCAGAAAAGAGAUGGGAAUUUCUGAAUACAAUCCUUGUUUUAAGUCUCACCAUGUGGUGAACGAGAGCUUGGUGUGGACAAGUCGGAUGAAGCCAUGGGAGUAGAUAUUGAAAGGCGGGUUGUAGAGAAUGAGGUUGGGUUGGAUCUGUCAUCUUCAAAGCCAGACCAAGAGUCCCUGGUUUUAGGCCACUCGUCAAAGAAGGGUCGAAGAGACUGA
rnacentral:misc_RNA from 1 species